AUUGAACGCUGGCGGCAGGCCUAACACAUGCAAGUCGAGCGGAGCGGCGGACGGGUGAGUAAUGCCUAGGAAUCUGCAUGGUAGUGGGGGAGAACGUCCGGAAACGGGCACUAAUACCACAUACUAUCAGAUGAGCCUAGGUCGGAUUUGCUAUUUGGUGGUGUAAAGGCCUACCAAGGCGACGAUCCGGAACUGGUCUGGGAGGAUGAUCAGUCAAACUGGAAAUGAGACACGGGCCAGAUUCCUACGGGGGGCAGCAGUGGGGAAUAUUGGACAAUGGGCGAAAGCCUGAUGCAGCCAUGCCGCGUGUGUGAAGAAGGUCUUCGGAUUGUAAAGCACUUUCAGUUGGGAGGCGUUACCAACAGAAGAAGCACCGGCUAACUUCGUGCCAGCAGCCGCGGUAAUUC
rnacentral:rRNA from 1 species